UUUAAUUCGAUUAAUAUAUUCCUUUUUUUCCAUUUCUUUUCAAAGGCAUGUGUUGCUAGCUUGUUAGCUAAGGAGCUUCGGUGUGAGUAUUUUGGUAACUUCCGCCCUGCGCUACACCCCGCGCAUGCGCGCAAGCGCCUCGCUCACUGCCCGUACAUUACAGUUUAUAACCCCAAAACAAAAACGUAACAAUUAGUCGAGACAGUUUUCUAUCUCCCAAAAAACUAGCGUUAUGAACUCCUCCUGCUUCAUUAUGGUACAGACUGGCAGUGAAUAUUUAUUCAAUUCAAUGACCAUCAUCCACUUUUAUGACUUCUUUUCAAAGGGAAUGAUGUCCGGGGCCAGUGACGGGAAUGGAGGCGAGACGCGGCCUGGCUGGCCUGAGAAAGCUCAACAGCGACACCAUGUGGGCGCCUGAGGUGAUGAAGGUUUGAUGACGGCGAGGCUUCAAAUUGAAUCAACACGGCCCAGUCUGUCGUGGGGGGCCCGGGUGUUGUGGAGCCUCUGCAGAUGGCCCUCCAGGGAGCACACGUCCAGCUCGGUGUCCCCGUACAGGAAGUGCUCCAGCAGGGCCUGGUAGAUGAAGGAGUACUGCGUCUGUGGAGGAGCCACCACACAAAAGGGAGUCCAGACCAGAAAGUUGUUUUCCUGACAGCGUGUUUGUUUCGCCAGCACUUGUCAGUGGGGUCAGCAGGGGUCAGCGCUUACAUCGGUCUGGAUGAGCUGACAGCGCUGCUCCCGUAUUCUGCUCACAAAGCCGAAGACGUCCGCCCUCUGCUCCGCCUGCAUCAUGUCCAUCAUGCUGUCAAUGACAAUGAACGUGCCCGUCCUCCCCACGCCGGCGCUGCACACACAGGAACAACAAGGGCGCCGCCUGUCAGAGAACUUGCAGAAGAACACGCCGGGUGUUUUUCUCACCGGGAAAAAAUAUAUAUAUAUAUAUAUUUCCCCGGAAACUUUGGAGAUUCAAGGAAGAAUUGCAUUUUGAGU